UUACCCAGUUUGAUGCAUCAUGAGGGUGAUUUAGUCAUUUUGUGUACUCAAAAACGUUGAAAACCUAUUGACCAAAAUUUAAGCGGGCUACUCCACUACUUUCCAUCGACUAAAUACAUCCUUCAUCACCAAUCGCAUUUACGCAAAAAUCUCGCUCCAGAUUCUCUCUCACGAACGACGCCACAAAUUCCUUCCAGUGCCAAAAACCCUAGCCGCCGCUGUUCAAAAGCGCGGCGUUUUCUCGGAGAUUCACCGCUGGGUGCCUUGCUUUCCAUAAUCCCCUCACGGUUUGAACUAGAUUUCGUUGGACUACAACAGCAGGUAGGGUUUCGUCGUAUAUUGUUCGAUUUUCAACAAUCGUUUUCCAAAUAACCGACCGAAAUAAAACAACCACACCAAGAUUCAAUAGAUUACCAUCAAAUCCGUGAUUAUUUGUUGUUAAAUUCUGUAAUUUUGUGAUUGUUUACUGUUGCGCGCAGAUUUCACCAUGACUAAAAGAGGUAGACCUACGAAAUCGCAACAAACACAAGAAGGGGAUUUAUCAUGACGAAAAGAGGACGUCCUUCAACUUCACAACCAUCCCAGUCUGAAGCUAAGAUUGGACAUCGACGAGGCGGUCGAUGAUAUACUGCCAGUAGGAAUUGCCCAAAAAUUUCAGGAGCGAUUAUCAGAGGCCGGGACUAGUACAGCUUCGGAAGAGACGGAGGAUAUGAAACCAAGGGGUAGGAACGUCGACCAUCUGUAUUGUCGACGAACCCCAACAGAGUUUCUGAAUUGUAUUAAGAGUUUAACUCCACGACAGAAGGAAGCCGUCACGGAACUUGUACAUGAG